GCCUACGGGGCGCAGCAGUAAGGGAUAUUGGUCAAUGGGGGAAACCCUGAACCAGCAACGCCGCGUGAGGGAAGACGGUUUUCGGAUUGUAAACCUCUGUCCUCUGUGAAGAUGAUGACGGUAGCAGAGGAGGAAGCUCCGGCUAACUACGUGCCAGCAGCCGCGGUAAUACGUAGGGAGCGAGCGUUGUCCGGAUUUACUGGGUGUAAAGGGUGCGUAGACGGCUUGGCAAGUCAGUAGUGAAAUCCAUGGGCUUAACC
rnacentral:rRNA from 1 species